GGCGGUGACGUGGUGGUGCUGUCUCGGUGCUUUUUUUAAUUUUUUUCAAAAAUCUUUGCAGAGUGUCGAGUAUUGCACACGGCAAAAUGAGUGCCGUGUGCCCGAGAUCUAGCUCACGGCAAAGUUGCUCUCUGCUGGCCGAUCUAUGCCAUGGGCACUUUGCUGUGUAUAAACCGGCUUUUGCCGUGUGCUUUUGACACACGGCAAAUUCCCUGUGUCCCGUAGUGAUGGAUCCACCAUGAAAAGACCAAAUACCCCUUCCCUUCUCUCCGUCGGCCGGUCCAAAAAAUACCGAGCUCCUUCCUCUAUCUUCUCUCCCUCGUGAACCCUAGAUCCAGCACGACAACGCUGGUGGCCAGCCCAUGACCGGCACUAGUGGUGCGGGUGAGGCCCCUAGGGAGUCGAGUGGGAUGCAUGGCCUGGCCGGCAUGGGCGCACAUCCCCUGGCCGUUCGCAGGCAAGCACGGGCAAGAAGUCGCCCCCGGUGGCACGGGUGAGCAGGCCGGAGGACGGCACGGGUGGGCAGCCCCCUGAGGUGCCCAGAGGAAGAACGGCAUGGCUAGGAAGCCUACGAAGGGGAGCGUCAGAGCACGACAGCGUAGUCAUGGUGUCCGGUAGCCAUUUGACAAAAGGUUCUAUAGAGUGAGUUGAACAUUUUCUAGCAUUCAAUACCAGAUUAUUCGAACUGUAGAUGUAGCUCUCAUUCAUGACGUUCUUGGUGAUCUAUACCGACAUGAUGUCAUAAACUAAUUUUUUGCUUGACAUAAAAUUGAUUAGCAACUGCAAAAAGAUUAGAAAGAAUGUGAAAUGUUGGAACUUUGAGAUGGUUGUUGAUUCGGAUAAGUCAAAUUAUAUGGAUUUUUUAUGCAUCCGCCACCAAUAAAGGUUGUAGCUGGUAGGUCCAAAACAGAGAGGCAUAAAGGUGGUAAUGAUAAUAAAAGGAAGAAAGAGCAACAUCAGCCUCAUAUAUGUAAGGAAUAUGGCCACCAUGGGCACAAAUGCAAGAAGGGUAGUAAAGAGGACAUAGAAGCAAUGAAAGUUGUGAGAGGACCACCAUAAAGAAGAGAAAAGGUACAAGCACUGCCAAUCAAAGUUCCAUUGUGCCAUGGGAGGAUGAAGGUCCACCGGCUUCUAUAUGUACUAUCCACCACCAAGUCAAACCUUGGAGAGUACUACUAGUACAAAGAUAAAACAUAUCGACUCUUGUUUUGAAGCUUCCAAAAGCCAAAGAUUGGACAAUUCUAGUAAAAAGAAGGGAAAUCAUGGAAACUCUAAGUCUGCAGCCUCAAAAAGGUCAACGAGUGGCUCAAAUCAGCCUACAGCCGAUCAAAUGUUGAAGGAGAUAAGAAUAGGAAGGGCAAAAGAAAGAAGAACGUUGUUGCAGAAAAAGAUUACAAAAACUAAGCAGCCGCCCUUUGAUAGUCCAGCAAAUCAGCAAUGACCACAAGGAGCAAAAUAGUUGAUCCUGCUAGUCCUGCAAUGAGCACAAGGAGUAAACAAAGAUUGAGUAUGUGAUUGUGAUAUGUAAUGAUGUCAUAUGAAUUGUUGUGGUUAUGUGUGGAUGUGAACUUCUCAACUUGUAAUGUGAAUUUGUAUGCAAAUUCGGUCUAUGGUCUGUAAUGUGAUCCAGGAUGGUUAUGGUUAUAUAUGAAUGUGAACUUGGAUCUUCUCUAACAUUUAUUUGGUUAAUUGUCAUGUUGCAUUGUAA